GACGAACGCUGGCGGCGUGCUUAACACAUGCAAGUCGAACGGAAAGGCCCUGCUUUUGUGGGGUGCUCGAGUGGCGAACGGGUGAGUAACACGUGAGUAACCUGCCCUUGACUUUGGGAUAACUUCAGGAAACUGGGGCUAAUACCGGAUAGGAGCUCCUGCUGCAUGGUGGGGGUUGGAAAGUUUCGGCGGUUGGGGAUGGACUCGCGGCUUAUCAGCUUGUUGGUGGGGUAGUGGCUUACCAAGGCUUUGACGGGUAGCCGGCCUGAGAGGGUGACCGGCCACAUUGGGACUGAGAUACGGCCCAGACUCCUACGGGAGGAAGCAGGGGGGAAUAUUGCACAAUGGGCGGAAGCCUGAUGCAGCAACGCCGCGUGCGGGAUGACGGCCUUCGGGUUGUAAACCGCUUUCGCCUGUGACGAAGCGUGAGUGACGGUAAUGGGUAAAGAAGCACCGGCUAACUACG
rnacentral:rRNA from 1 species